rnacentral:rRNA from 2 species
UGCGGAAGGAUCAUUACCGAGUGAGGGCCCUCUGGGUCCAACCUCCCACCCGUGUUUAUUUUACCUUGUUGCUUCGGCGGGCCCGCCUUAACUGGCCGCCGGGGGGCUUACGCCCCCGGGCCCGCGCCCGCCGAAGACACCCUCGAACUCUGUCUGAAGAUUGUAGUCUGAGUGAAAAUAUAAAUUAUUUAAAACUUUCAACAACGGAUCUCUUGGUUCCGGCAUCGAUGAAGAACGCAGCGAAAUGCGAUACGUAAUGUGAAUUGCAAAUUCAGUGAAUCAUCGAGUCUUUGAACGCACAUUGCGCCCCCUGGUAUUCCGGGGGGCAUGCCUGUCCGAGCGUCAUUUCUGCCCUCAAGCACGGCUUGUGUGUUGGGCCCCGUCCUCCGAUCCCGGGGGACGGGCCCGAAAGGCAGCGGCGGCACCGCGUCCGGUCCUCGAGCGUAUGGGGCUUUGUCACCCGCUCUGUAGGCCCGGCCGGCGCUUGCCGAUCAACCCAAAUUUUUAUCCAGGUUGACCUCGGAUCAGGUAGGGAUACCCGCUGAACUUAAGCAUAUCAAUA